rnacentral:rRNA from 1 species
UACGGGGGGGGCAAGCGUUGUUCGGAAUUACUGGGCGUAAAGGGUUUGUAGGUGGCUUGUUAAGUCAGACGUGAAAUCCCUCAGCUUAACUGGGGAACUGCGUCUGAUACUGGCGAGCUUGAGUGCAGGAGAGGAACGCGGAAUUCCAGGUGUAGCGGUGAAAUGCGUAGAUAUCUGGAGGAACACCGGUGGCGAAGGCGGCAUCCUGGACCAACACUGACGCUGAGGAGCGAAAGCCAGGGGAGCAAACGGG